rnacentral:rRNA from 1 species
GACAGAGGUGCCGAGCGUUAGGCGGAAUCACUGGGCUUAAAGCGUGUGUAGGCGGAUCUGUAAGUACCUUGUGAAAUCCCACGGCUCAACCGUGGAACUGCUUGGUAUACUGCGGGUCUUGAGCCACCUAGGGGCAAGUGGAACAAACGGGUGGAGCGGAUGAAAGCGUAGAUAUCGUUUGGAACGCCAAGUGGUGAAAACAACUGCUGGGGGUGUGCUGACGCUGAGACA